rnacentral:rRNA from 1 species
GACGAACGCUGGCGGCGUGCCUAAUACAUGCAAGUCGAGCGGACCUCUUCGGAGGUCAGCGGCGGACGGGUGAGUAACACGUGGGCAACCUGCCUGUAAGACUGGGAUAACACCGGGAAACCGGCGCUAAUACCGGAUAAUCCUUUUCCUCACAUGAGGGGAAGCUGAAAGACGGUUUCGGCUGUCACUUACAGAUGGGCCCGCGGCGCAUUAGCUAGUUGGUGGGGUAACGGCCCACCAAGGCGACGAUGCGUAGCCGACCUGAGAGGGUGAUCGGCCUCACUGGGACUGAGACACGGCCCAGACUCCUACGGGAGGCAGCAGUAGGGAAUCUUCGGCAAUGGACGAAAGUCUGACGGAGCAACGCCGCGUGAGCGAAGAAGGCCUUCGGGUCGUAAAGCUCUGUUGUUAGGGAAGAACACGUACCGGAGUAACUGCCGGUACCUUGACGGUACCUGACCAGAAAGCCACGGCUAACUACGUGCCAGCCGCCGCAGUAACAC